UACAGAGGUCUCAAGCGUUGUUCGGAUCAUUGGCGUAAAGGGUGUGUAGGUGGCGCGCUAAGUCGGGUGUGAAAUUUCGGAGCUUAACUCCGAAACUGCAUUCGAUACUGGCGUGCUUGAGGACUGGAGAGGAGACUGGAAUUCAUGGUGUAGCAGUGAAAUGCGUAGAGAUCAUGAGGAAGACCAGUGGCGAAGGCGGGUCUCUGGACAGUUCCUGACACUGAGACACGAAGGCCAGGGGAGCAAACGGG
rnacentral:rRNA from 1 species